rnacentral:rRNA from 1 species
UGGGGAAUUGUUCGCAAUGGGCGCAAGCCUGACGACGCAACGCCGCGUGGAGGACGAAGAUCUUCGGGUCGUAAACUCCUGUCGAGCGGGACGAACACCCAUCCGGUGAAUAUCCGGGAGGGCUGACGGUACCGCUAAAGGAAGCCCCGGCUAACUCCGUGCCAGCAGCCGCGGUAAUACGAAGGGGGCUAGCGUUGCUCGGAAUUACUGGGCGUAAAGGGAGCGUAGGCGGAUAUUUAAGUCGGGGGUGAAAGCCCGGGGCUCAACCUCGGAAUUGCCUUCGAUACUGGAUAUCUUGAGUUCGGGAGAGGUGAGUGGAAUGCCGAGUGUAGAGGUGAAAUUCGUAGAUAUUCGGCGGAACACCAGUGGCGAAGGCGACUCACUGGCCCGAUACUGACGCUGAGGCGCGAAAGCGUGGGGAGCAAAC